AGUGAACGCUGGCGGUAGGCCUAACACAUGCAAGUCGAACGGCAGCACAGUAAGAGCUUGCUCUUACGGGUGGCGAGUGGCGGACGGGUGAGGAGUACAUCGGAAUCUACUUUUUCGUGGGGGAUAACGUAGGGAAACUUACGCUAAUACCGCAUACGACCUUCGGGUGAAAGCAGGGGAUCUUCGGACCUUGCGCGAUUGAAUGAGCCGAUGUCGGAUUAGCUAGUUGGCGGGGUAAAGGCCCACCAAGGCGACGAUCCGUAGCUGGUCUGAGAGGAUGAUCAGCCACACUGGAACUGAGACACGGUCCAGACUCCUACGGGAGGCAGCAGUGGGGAAUAUUGGACAAUGGGCGCAAGCCUGAUCCAGCCAUACCGCGUGGGUGAAGAAGGCCUUCGGGUUGUAAAGCCCUUUUGUUGGGAAAGAAAAGCAGCAGGUUAAUACCCCGCUGUUCUGACGGUACCCAAAGAAUAAGCACCGGCUAACUUCGUG
rnacentral:rRNA from 1 species